rnacentral:rRNA from 1 species
AGCAUAUCAAUAAGCGGAGGAAAAGAAACCAACAGGGAUUGCCUCAGUAGCGGCGAGUGAAGCGGCCAGAGCUCAGAUUUGAAAUCGCAGCACCAUGCUGCGAGUUGUAGAUUGCAGGUGGGAGAGUCUGCGUAGGCCGGUGUCGAAGUCCCUUGGAACAGGGCGCCACUGAGGGUGAGAGCCCCGUGCGAUGCCACGCUCUACGUUUUGUACUCCCCUCUGACGAGUCGAGUUGUUUGGGAAUGCAGCUCUAAGUGGGUGGUAAAUUCCAUCUAAGGCUAAAUACUGGCGAGAGACCGAUAGCGAACAAGUACUGUGAAGGAAAGAUGAAAAGCACUUUGAAAAGAGAGUGAAACAGCACGUGAAAUUGUUGAAAGGGAAGGGUAUUGGGCCCGACAUGGGAAUCGCGCACCGCUGCUCCUUGUGGGCGGCGCUCUGGGCUUUUCCUGGGCCAGCAUCGGUUCUUGCUGCAGGAGAAGGGGCUGUGGAAUGUGGCUGCCGCGCUUUGCCGGGGCAGUGUUAUAGCCACUGGGCCAGAUGCUGCGUGUGGGGACCGAGGACUGCGGCCGCAAGGUCUCGAAUGCUGGCACAACGGCGCAUUACCGCCC